UGGGGAGUGGUGUAACCGGCAGCACGGGACACUUUGGAUGUUCAAGAUCAGGUUCGAAUCCUGGCUCCCCAG
rnacentral:tRNA from 3 species